CGUACUCUUGCGCUAUAGUAUAGUAUAGUAUAGUAUAGUAUUAUCAUGCGUGUUAUUUUGUGUAUUGCAUUGAUCUUAACCUCUGUUGUAAAUGUCUACGGGGGGACGUGUGAAUCCUGCUGCAAAAUGUCAGCGUGUGACCCAAAUCCCUGUAAAAAUAAUGGUACCUGUACACCACCCGAGAACAGUUACCACUGUAGUUGUGAUCCUGGGUAUGUAGGACAAAACUGUGACGUGAAUGUGUGUCUACCUAACCCGUGUAAAAAUAAUGGCACGUGUUUACCAGUUGAUAAGGGUUACAUCUGUGAUUGUGCUACAGGAUAUUUAGGAGAAAACUGUGACGUAAAUCCCUGUACUAUAUACAACCCCUGUAUAAAUAAUGGCAGGUGUUAUCCAUCAGAAUUUGUUGUGAAUUGUAGCUGUCCUCCUGGAUUUAUAGGAGAAUUUUGUCAGGUGAGAAAAUGUAACGUGGCAGAGUGUAAGGCUAGUGGGGGAGAGUGUACCCAACAAAUAUGUCAUACCGAUGCUACGAAUUGUAGUGGUAAAGCCUGUAGUGCAGCUAAUUUCGAACUGUGCAUUGAUGAUACUUGUGUAUUCACAGGUGCCUUCUGUGGGAUGAAAGAUGGCAUAUUUAACCUCUGUCCCCCUAUAGGUGAUCAAUGUGGGGAUGGUCAGUUUUGUUCUGGUUAUGAUAAAUGUGUAAAUGACACGUGUCGAAAUAUAGUAGACUGUGAGACACUGACUGAUGAAGUAUGCCAUGUCGGUGCUUUUUCUGGCACUUGUUCCGGUGGUGUUUGUCUCUUACCGUGUGACGACGACAAGACUUGUCAAGGUCUCUCAUGUGUUGGUGGAUCCUGUGCACUACCGAAAUGUGGAGAAUCAUAUUGUUCUUUGGAAUCAAACUAAUUGAUGUUGUACAGAGAACAACUAUUUAUAUAUUCAAUAGAAUAAAUUGUAAUAUGUAAUAAUAACCUAUAUUGUAAUAUUUAACAUAAACUAUAUUGUAAUAUUUAACAUAAACUAUAUUGUAAUAUUUAGACACUUCGUUAAUUAAUAUAUUUAACCACUGAUAUAAGGAUUAAUAUAAUAAACUAUAUUGUAAUAUUUAACAUAAACUAUAUUGUAAUAUUUAACAUAAACUAUAUUGUAAUAUUUAGACACUUCGUUA